rnacentral:rRNA from 1 species
CCAAUAGCGUAUAUUAAAGUUGUUGCAGUUAAAAAGCUCGUAGUUGAAUUUCGGGAUUUAUCCGUCGGUCGGGCUUUUGGGUCUGUACUGGCGUGAUGGAUUCCUACCUUCUGAAUAACCGGCAUGUCAUUUAUUUGGUGCGCUGGGGAAGCAGGACUGUUACCUUGAAAAAAUUAGAGUGCUUAAAGCAGGCUAUUGCCUGAAUACAUUAGCAUGGAAUAAUGAAAUAGGACGGCAUGGUUCUAUUUUGUUGGUUUCUAGGAUCACCGUAAUGAUUAAUAGGGAUAGUUGGGGGCAUUAGUAUUCAAUUGUCAGAGGUGAAAUUCUUGGAUUUAUUGAAGACUAACUUCUGCGAAAGCAUUUGCCAAGGAUGUUUUCAUUAAUCAAGAACGAAAGUUAGGGGAUCGAAGACGAUCAGAUACCGUCGUAGUCUUAACCAUAAACUAUGCCGACUAGGGAUCGGACGAUGUUAAUUUUUUAAUGACUCGUUCGGCGCCUUACG